rnacentral:rRNA from 1 species
UACGUAGGGGGCAAGCGUUGUCCGGAAUCAUUGGGCGUAAAGAGCGUGUAGGCGGCCUGGUAAGUCCGCUGUGAAAGUCCAGGGCUCAACCCUGGAAUGCCGGUGGAAACUGUCAGGCUCGAGUCCGGAAGAGGCGAGUGGAAUUCACGGUGUAGCAGUGAAAUGCGUAGAGAUCGUGAGGAAGACCAGUGGCGAAGGCGGAUCUCUGGACAGUUCCUGACGCUGAGGCGCGAAGGCCAGGGGAGCAAACGGG